rnacentral:rRNA from 1 species
CAGUCGCCGCGGUAAAACGAACCGUGCGAACGUUAUUCGGAAUCACUGGGCUUAAAGCGCGUGUAGGCGGGAGGGCACGUCCGUCGCUGAAAUCCCCCGGCUCAACCGGGGAACGGGCGCGGAUACGACUCUCCUUGAGGAACGUAGGGGGACCUGGAACUUCCGGUGGAGCGGUGAAAUGCGUUGAGAUCGGAAGGAACGCCCGUGGCGAAAGCGAGGUCCAGGACGUUGACUGACGCUGAGACGCGAAAGCCAGGGGAGCGAACGGGAUUAGAGACCCGCGUAGUCCCUGUCUCUUAUA